AAGCGUAUAUUAAAGUUGUUGCAGUUAAAAAGCUCGUAGUUGAAAUUCUGGUUGUAUUGGGCCUAUGCACUUGUUGUAAAGGUACCAGCAAUCAUUCGCUUGCAAGUACAUUCCUUCCUUAACCGGUUGGCUGUAUAAGUACGCACUUUACCUUGAGAAAAACAGAGUGUUCCAGGCAGGUUUGUCCGGAAUGCGUUAGCAUGGAAUAAUGGAAUAUGACUGAAGUCGAUUUAUUGGUUUAAGGCUUUAGUAAUGAUUAAUAGGAACAAUCGGGGGCAUUGGUACUUGUCAGUCAGAGGUGAAAUUCUAGGAUUUGACAAAGACUAACUGAUGCGAAAAGCGUUUGCCAAGAAUGUUUUCAUUAAUCAAGAACGAAAGUUAGGGGAUCAAAAGACGAUCAGAUACCGUCCUAGUCUUAACUAUAAACUAUACCGACUCGGAUUCAGAUGAAUAUUAAAGUUCAUUUGGGACCGUAGGAGAAAAUCAAAAGUCUUUGGGUUCUGGGG
rnacentral:rRNA from 1 species